AGAACGAACGCUGGCGGCAUGCCUAACACAUGCAAGUCGAACGAGACCUUCGGGUCUAGUGGCGCACGGGUGCGUAACGCGUGGGAAUCUACCCUUAGGUUCGGAAUAACUCAGGGAAACUUGAGCUAAUACCGCAUAAUGUCUUCGGACCAAAGAUUUAUCGCCUAGGGAUGAGCCCGCGUAGGAUUAGCUAGUUGGUGAGGUAAAAGCUCACCAAGGCGACGAUCCUUAGCUGGUCUGAGAGGAUGAUCAGCCACACUGGGACUGAGACACGGCCCAGACUCCUACGGGAGGCAGCAGUGGGGAAUAUUGGACAAUGGGCGAAAGCCUGAUCCAGCAAUGCCGCGUGAGUGAUGAAGGCCUUAGGGUUGUAAAGCCCUUUCGGCGGGAAGAUAAUGACGGUACCCGCAGAAGAAGCCCGGCUAACUUCGUGCCAGCAGCCGC
rnacentral:rRNA from 1 species